rnacentral:rRNA from 1 species
CCUACGGGAGGCUGCAGUGGGGAAUAUUGCACAAUGGGGGAAACCCUGAUGCAGCGACGCCGCGUGAGUGAAGAAGUAUUUCGGUAUGUGAAGCUCUAUCAGCAGGGAAGAAGCAAGACGGUACCUGACUAAGAAGCCCCGGCUAACUACGUGCCAGCAGCCGCGGUAAUACGUAGGGGGCAAGCGUUAUCCGGAUUUACUGGGUGGAAAGGGAGCGUAGACGGUAUGGCAAGUCUGAAGUGAAAGCCCAGGGCUUAACCCUGGGACUGCUUUGGAAACUGUUAGACUAGAGUGCUGGAGAGGUAAGUGGAAUUCCUAGUGUAGCGGUGAAAUGCGUAGAUAUUAGGAGGAACACCAGUGGCGAAGGCGGCUUACUGGACAGUAACUGACGUUGAGGCUCGAAAGCGUGGGGAGCAAACAGGAUUAGAUACCCCAGUAGUC